UACAGAGGGUGCAAGCGUUAAUCGGAAUUACUGGGCGUAAAGCGUGCGUAGACGGUAGCGUAAGUCGGGUGUGAAAGCCCCGGGCUCAACCUGGGAAUUGCAUUCGAGACUGCUCUGCUAGGUGCGGAAGAGGGAAGCGGAAUUUCCGGUGUAGCGGUGAAAUGCGUAGAUAUCGGAAGGAACACCAGUGGCGAAAGCGGCUCCUGGUCCAGCACCGACGUCAGGCACGAAGCGUGGGAG
rnacentral:rRNA from 1 species